CCGGUUGGUUCGCGGGCGGGGAGCCGGAGGGCUCCUACUACGGGCCGCCGCUGCGUCUGGCCGAGGACGCCCGGCGGUUCGACAUCUCCCCGGCCUGG
rnacentral:tRNA from 1 species